GGGGGGAGCAAGCGUUGUUCGGAUUUACUGGGCGUAAAGGGCGCGUAGGCGGCCUCCGCAAGUCAGUUGUGAAAUCUCCGAGCUUAACUCGGAAAGGUCAACUGAUACUGCGGGGCUAGAGUGCGGAAGGGGCAACUGGAAUUCUUGGUGUAGCGGUGAAAUGCGUAGAUAUCAAGAGGAACACCUGCGGCGAAGGCGGGUUGCUGGGCCGACACUGACGCUGAGGCGCGAAAGCUAGGGGAGCGAACGGGAUUAGAUACCCCGGUAGUCCUAGCCUUAAACGAUGAAUGCUUGGUGUCUGGGGUUAUAUAGUCCCCGGGUGCCGUCGCUAACGCUUUAAGCAUUCCGCCUGGGGAGUACGGUCGCAAGRGSUG
rnacentral:rRNA from 1 species